rnacentral:rRNA from 1 species
GCACCCUAAAAUUUAACGGAUCUAAAUAAUAUACCGAGACCUUGUCCCAUAAAUAUUUUUAUGUACAAGUUACAUAGAAUAUAUAUGGGGUAGCGGAACCUUGGGCGCAUCUCAGAUUUUUUCUUUUUAAGACUUAAGAUUAGAUUACCCAAGUGAUAAUGCUGACAUGAGUAACGAUAAAGGGGUUAUACCCUCGCCUAAAGCUUAUGGAAUUUACUUAAAGUAACGGCCUCUUAGUUUAAAUUUGCUUUACUUUACUGGGUUUUUUAGCUUUAAUUAAAAACGUGAUAAAGUAAAGUUACCUAAUGGUAUAAACGAUGAGAAAAAAAAUUUUUUUUUUUUUAGAAAAAAUCUAAGUUUUACGGUAAAUAAGAAUGGAUACUUAUGGAAACACAUUGAACGCGUAAAGUUGAAAAGUGUGUUUAAGUUUUCUCUAAAGAAAAAAAAAUAUUUAGUGGGUUUUCACUAAACACACUAUAUAAAUAAAAACAGCAUUUGUGUUGGUAUACUAGAGCUAGGGUACCUGUUAAAAUAGUAACUGAAAGUAAGGUAAUAGUUACUAACUAAAGUGACAAAUGCUCUGGAAAAACGUAAAACUAGCAUGCUUAAUUAGAGUAUAGACGAGGCGGAUCGUCCCUUGUCUAUAAAAAGCUAUA